AUUGAACGCUGGCGGCAUGCCUAACACAUGCAAGUCGAGCGGACGAAGGGAGCUUGCUCCUGGAUUCAGCGGCGGACGGGUGAGUAAUGCCUAGGAAUCUGCCUGGUAGUGGGGGAUAACGUCCGGAAACGGGCGCUAAUACCGCAUACGUCCUGAGGGAGAAAGUGGGGGAUCUUCGGACCUCACGCUAUCAGAUGAGCCUAGGUCGGAUUAGCUAGUUGGUGGGGUAAAGGCCUACCAAGGCGACGAUCCGUAACUGGUCUGAGAGGAUGAUCAGUCACACUGGAACUGAGACACGGUCCAGACUCCUACGGGAGGCAGCAGUGGGGAAUAUUGGACAAUGGGCGAAAGCCUGAUCCAGCCAUGCCGCGUGUGUGAAGAAGGUCUUCGGAUUGUAAAGCACUUUAAGUUGGGAGGAAGGACAGUAAGUUAAUACCUUGCUGUUUUGACGUUACCAACAGAAUAAGCACCGGCUAACUUCGUG
rnacentral:rRNA from 1 species